GAUGAAGAACGUAGCGAAAUGCGAUAAGUAGUGUGAAUUGCAGAAUUCAGUGAAUCAUCGAAUCUUUGAACGCACAUUGCGCCUUCUAGUAUUCUGGGAGGCAUGCCUGUUUGAGCAUCAUUAAACCUCUCUCAAGUAUGAUUACUUGGAUGUGAAGGAAGAGUACCUUAAACUUAAGGAGUGUUCUCCUUUGAAAUUGAUUAGCAGAUGGUAAUGUUAUUAAAUCCCUGAUGUUGUAAGAAAUAACAGUGGUUUUGUAGACUAUUAUCUAGCUUUAAAUUAUAAUUUUUAUUAUGGUUGACCUCAAAUCAGGUAAGGAUACCCGCUGAACUUAAGCAUAUCAAUAAGCGGAGGA
rnacentral:misc_RNA from 1 species